rnacentral:lncRNA from 1 species
UAAGGACCAAAUAUACCACUGGGACCACGGAAUUAUUGUCUGACAAUAAGACAUCAUCAACCAUCCAACAUUCCAUAAGCGGAUCAAUCAAUGAACUAAUUCUCCAAUGAGCACCUGUACUAUAUCCCUAGUGUCCCUAUAUGAGUAGCUGUGAGACAAAUUACAUCCAUCAUAUGGACGGGCAUACAACACACCAAUCUGUCUAGUUAUCUCGAUGUCCCUCUCGAGUAACCUAUGACCGGGAUUAUUUAGGAUCUAUGUUUGAAGGCGGGUCAGUCUCAUUAUCAUGAUCUUAUAACGAUCCGAUUCCAAUUACAUAGAUCCAAGGACAUCACAAAA